rnacentral:rRNA from 1 species
AGCAGCCGCGGUAAUUCCAGCUCCAAUAGCGUAUAUUAAAGUUGUUGCAGUUAAAAAGCUCGUAGUUGAAUUUCGGGAUCAAGGCGUCGGUCGUGCUUCGGUACGUACUGGCGUCAUUGAUUUCUCCCUUCUGACGAACCAUGAUGCCAUUAACUUGGUGUUAUGGGAAAUCAGGACUGUUACUUUGAAAAAAUUAGAGUGUUUAAAGCAGGCUCACGCUUGAAUACAUUAGCAUGGAAUAAUGAAAUAGGACGUUCGAUCCUAUUUUGUUGGUUUCUAGGAUCAACGUAAUGAUUAAUAGGGAUAGUUGGGGGCAUUAGUAUUCAAUUGUCAGAGGUGAAAUUCUUGGAUUUAUUGAAGACUAACUACUGCGAAAGCAUUUGCCAAGGAUGUUUUCAUUAAUCAAGAACGAAAGUUAGGGGAUCGAAGACGAUCAGAUACCGUCGUAGUCUUAACCAUAAACUAUGCCGACUAGGGAUCGGAUGAUGUUAAUUAUUUAAUGACUCAUUCGGCGCCUUACG